rnacentral:siRNA from 1 species
UUUGGCCUGGUCAACGAUAAC